UUAUAUAAAUUAAAGGUGAUACCUGCCCAGUGAUAAGAAAAUUAAAAUUAUAAUUAAAUUUAAAUCUUAUUAAACGGAUGCGGUAACUCUGACUGUAAUAAAGUAGCAUAAUAAGUUGUCAUUUAAUUGGUGAAAGGGAUGAAUGGUAAAACGAGCUUUUCAUUGUCUUAUUUAAAGAUUUUUUGAAAUUAAAAUAAUAGUGAAGAUUCUAUUUAAAAUCGUAAGACGAAAAGACCCUAUAGAGCUUUACUAUAAUUUUUUUUAGGUUAAUGAAAUUUUCAUGAAUUAAAUAAAUAUUGGUAGUUUAGUUGGGGCGACUGUUUUUUAUAUUUAACAAAAACAAGCAAUGUUAAUAAUUUAACUUAUUGUAUAACUAAAAAUUUUAACAAUUAUAAUAAUAGGCUAUAAUGACCCGUUAAUUUUUAUAAAUCAAUUUAACGAUUAAUUAAUAAAAGCUACCUUAGGGAUAACAGGAUAAUUUUGUUUUAGAGUUCUUAUCAAUUUCAAAGUUUGUCACCUCUAUGUUGAAUUAAGAUAUCCCAAUAAUGCAGAAGUUAUUAAAGGUAGGUCUGUUCGACCUUUAAAAUCUUACAUGAUUUGAGUUCAUUCCGUCGUA
rnacentral:rRNA from 1 species